GAGUUUGAUCGUGGCUCAGGAUGAACGCUAGCGGGAGGCCUAACACAUGCAAGCCGAGCGGUAUUGUUUCUUCGGAAAUGAGAGAGCGGCGUACGGGUGCGGAACACGUGUGCAACCUGCCUUUAUCUGGGGGAUAGCCUUUCGAAAGGAAGAUUAAUACUCCAUAACAUAUUUAACGGCAUCGUUUGAUAUUGAAAGCUCCGGCGGAUAGAGAUGGGCACGCGCAAGAUUAGCUAGUUGGUGAGGUAACGGCUCACCAAGGCGAUGAUCUUUAGGGGCCUGAGAGGGUGAUCCCCCACACUGGUACUGAGACACGGACCAGACUCCUACGGGAGGCAGCAGUGAGGAAUAUUGGUCAAUGGGUGCAAGCCUGAACCAGCCAUCCCGCGUGAAGGACGACUGCCCUAUGGGUUGUAAACUUCUUUUGUAUAGGGAUAAACCUACCCUCGUGAGGGUAGCUGAAGGUACUAUACGAAUAAGCACCGGCUAACUCCGUGCCAGCAGCCGCCGUAAG
rnacentral:rRNA from 1 species